rnacentral:rRNA from 1 species
UACGUAGGUGGCAAGCGUUGUCCGGAAUUACUGGGUGUAAAGCGCGUGUAGGCGGCAGACCAAGUCGGCGGUGAAAGCGCCCGGCUCAACUGGGCGAGGUCCGGUGGAAACUGGUCAGCUGGAGGACGGUAGAGGCGAGUGGAAUUCCCGGUGUAGUGGUGAAAUGCGUAGAGAUCGGGAGGAACACCUGUGGCGAAGGCGGCUCGCUGGGCCGGUCCUGACGCUGAGACGCGAAGGCGUGGGGAGCGAACGGG